rnacentral:rRNA from 1 species
UACGAAGGGGGCUAGCGUUGCUCGGAAUCACUGGGCGUAAAGGGUGCGUAGGCGGGUUUUUAAGUCAGGGGUGAAAUCCUGGAGCUCAACUCCAGAACUGCCUUUGAUACAGAAGAUCUUGAGUUCGGGAGAGGUGAGUGGAACUGCGAGUGUAGAGGUGAAAUUCGUAGAUAUUCGCAAGAACACCAGUGGCGAAGGCGGCUCACUGGCCCGAUACUGACGCUGAGGCACGAAAGCGUGGGGAGCAAACAGG